rnacentral:rRNA from 1 species
UUAACACAUGCAAGUCGAACGAGAAAGCUUUCUUCGGAAAGUGAGUAGAGUGGCGCACGGGUGAGUAACGCGUAGGUAAUCUAUCCUUNAUAUUUGGGAUAACAUCGGGAAACUGGUGCUAAUACCGGAUACCCUUUCAGUUAUGCGAAUAACCGAGAGGAAAGGUGGCCUCUUCAUGAAAGCUACCGUAUAGGGAUGAGCCUGCGUACCAUUAGCUAGUAGGUGGGGUAAUGGCCCACCUAGGCUACGAUGGUUAGCGGGUCUGAGAGGAUGAUCCGCCACACUGGAACUGAAACACGGACCAGACUCCUACGGGAGGCAGCAGUGAGGAAUAUUGCGCAAUGGGGGAAACCCUGACGCAGCGACGCCGCGUGAGUGAGGAAGGUUUUCGGAUCGUAAAGCUCUGUCAGAAGGGAAGAAGUGUUAUAUGGUUAAUACCCAUAUAAUUUGACGGUACCUUCAGAGGAAGCACCGGCUAACUCCGUGCCAGCAGCCGCGGUAAUACGGAGGGUGCAAGCGUUGUUCGGAAUUACUGGGCGUAAAGGGCGCGUAGGCGGCCUGAUAAGUCAGAUGUGAAAGUCCACGGCUCAACCGUGGAAGUGCAUUUGAAACUGUCAGGCUUGAGUAUCGGAGGGGAGUGUGGAAUUCCCGGUGUAGAGGUGAAAUUCGUAGAGAUCGGGAGGAACACCGGUGGCGAAGGCGACACUCUGGACGAAUACUGACGCUGAGGCGCGAAAGCGUGGGGAGCAAACAGGAUUAGAUACCCUGGUAGUCCACGCCGUAAACGAUGUGAACUAGGGAUAGGGGGUGUUGAUCCCUCCUGUCCCGCAGCUAACGCAUUAAGUUCACCGCCUGGGGAGUACGGUCGCAAGAUUAAAACUCAAAGGAAUUGACGG